GACGAACGCUGGCGGCGUGCCUAAUACAUGCAAGUAGAACGCUGAAGGAGGAGCUUGCUUCUCUGGAUGAGUUGCGAACGGGUGAGUAACGCGUAGGUAACCUGCCUGGUAGCGGGGGAUAACUAUUGGAAACGAUAGCUAAUACCGCAUAAGAGUAGAUGUUGCAUGACAUUUACUUAAAAGGUGCAAUUGCAUCACUACCAGAUGGACCUGCGUUGUAUUAGCUAGUUGGUGAGGUAACGGCUCACCAAGGCAACGAUACAUAGCCGACCUGAGAGGGUGAGCGGCCACACUGGGACUGAGACACGGCCCAGACUCCUACGGGAGGCAGCAGUAGGGAACCUUCGGCAAUGGACGGAAGUCUGACCGAGCAACGCCGCGUGAGUGAAGAAGGUUUUCGGAUCGUAAAGCUCGGUUGUAAGAGAAGAACGAGUGUGAGAGUGGAAAGUUCACACUGUGACGGUAUCUUACCAGAAAGGGACGGCUAACUACGUG
rnacentral:rRNA from 1 species